AGUGAAAGACUUUCUCCGGUGACAGCCCGCAUUUUCUGGAGCUCUUCGCUGUGUGGACGCUACGUUAAACGUGAUGGAUGAAGAUGAAGAGCUGGAGAGAGGGAUGCUGAGUAUCUCUCCUCCCCAAGCAACAUGUGCAGAGCUGCUUUUUCCUUAGAACCAUCUGCUGCACUGGCUGCACCAACUCAUCUGAAGGGUUCACAUAGAGGCUCUAACUGUAAAGAGACCAGUGCCUGUUCCCCAGGACCUCAUGUGUCUGCUGCCAGAAGGAGUGGGUCGUCCAUCAACAGUUCCUGGUGUGUAUUAUUUCACCUGUAUUUGCAUCUUUAAAUUAUCCAUAUGUAGUUUCCAUCAAAACUGUUGUUAAUUCUUUAAAGUUGCUGGUGCACUGUAUUCGGACAAAAAGUAGAGUUUCACAGACUACAGUGUAGAUGUCAUGUUACAUUCUUGCUUCACGUUACUGUCAAUAAUAACAACAUGUUUAAUAUUCUCUAUAGUGUCAGAGGCACCCCGCAUUUCUCCUGAGACGUCAGCAGAGCCCGGUCAACUGUCACCUGCACAGAGACAUCAAAGUUACCAUUAGAAUGUUUUUCAUGUCAAAAAGAUGAAAUCAAGUCGCACCAAAAAUGGUACUAAUUAGCUCUGGUUAUUCUUGUCUGACUAGGUGAGCCGUUACCCAGGCCGUUAGCUCUCCCCACCCGUCCUCCUCCACAGCUCCCUGCCUACGACCAUGAAGUCAGCCAGUGGACCUGUUCACAGCAGCAGAGGAGCUGGAUGAAGACAGAGCUGGAAUCCAUGGGUCUCUGGCCAGGCUCCUUUCCUGUACACAACCUAAUGAAGAUGGUGUCAUUGUGGCGUCUCCCUCCCUCCCCAGCCAGAAUUAAUCGACAGCAUCUCUGAUCUUCCUUCCCCAAAGUUCUUUCAGCUGGAACUGGAUGCCAAAGAGCCAAAGAGGAAGAGGACUGAAUUCCAGCACACAGGUCGCAAGUGUUGAUUCUGUCAGAUGGAACUGAAGCAGGAUCCAAAGAGUCCUCACAUUCACACGGGGUUCCCUGGACUAACAGGGAAGUAGAUUUACUGCCCUGGUAAAGUCUUUUCCCCUUACAAAGACCAGGGCAUAGAGAAGGAGACGACCUGGAAUGAGUUCCAGCGUCUCCUUUUUAUGAGAAAGCAAAAAAGAGAUGGGAGGUUGAAAAGGGAAAAUAAGAGAAAGAAAAGGGGAGUGUUCUGUCGUGUAUAUGUCUUUGCUCAUUUUAGUAAUUAGAUUACUUUUUACUGGAUUCAUUAUUAUAUUUGUGUUGUGUAUUUGUGACCUUGCACUAUGGGCUCUGUGUUCAAUGUUUACUGUCCCUGUUGUGUUUAAUAAAUAUAUUUUGUUCA